UAACACGUGAGCAACCUGCCCCUGACUCUGGGAUAAGCGCUGGAAACGGCGUCUAAUACUGGAUACGAGUAGCGAUCGCAUGGUCAGCUACUGGAAAGAUUUAUUGGUUGGGGAUGGGCUCGCGGCCUAUCAGCUUGUUGGUGAGGUAAUGGCUCACCAAGGCGUCGACGGGUAGCCGGCCUGAGAGGGUGACCGGCCACACUGGGACUGAGACACGGCCCAGACUCCUACGGGAGGCAGCAGUGGGGAAUAUUGCACAAUGGGCGCAAGCCUGAUGCAGCAACGCCGCGUGAGGGAUGACGGCCUUCGGGUUGUAAACCUCUUUUAGCAGGGAAGAAGCGAAAGUGACGGUACCUGCAGAAAAAGCGCCGGCUAACUACGUGCCAGCAGCCGCGGUAAUACGUAGGGCGCAAGCGUUAUCCGGAAUUAUUGGGCGUAAAGAGCUCGUAGGCGGUUUGUCGCGUCUGCUGUGAAAUCCGGAGGCUCAACCUCCGGCCUGCAGUGGGUACGGGCAGACUAGAGUGCGGUAGGGGAGAUUGGAAUUCCUGGUGUAGCGGUGGAAUGCGCAGAUAUCAGGAGGAACACCGAUGGCGAAGGCAGAUCUCUGGGCCGUAACUGACGCUGAGGAGCGAAAGGGUGGGGAGCAAACAGGCUUAGAUACCC
rnacentral:rRNA from 1 species